rnacentral:rRNA from 1 species
UACGGGAGGCAGCAGUGGGGAAUAUUGCACAAUGGGGGAAACCCUGAUGCAGCGACGCCGCGUGAGUGAUGAAGUAUUUCGGUACGUAAAGCUCUAUCAGCAGGAAAGAAAAUGACGGUACCUGACUAAGAAGCCCCGGCUAACUACGUGCCAGCAGCCGCGGUAAU